CAUGGGUUUAUUAUGAAAUUAGAGCCUACCAUUGGCAUCAAGGUGUGGAGCGGGGCUCCUGUUUAGACCCCCCACCUCCACCCAGGAUAUCAGAAUUCCCAGAAGGGAGCUGAGGAAACAUGUAAGUUGUAUCCUUCUGGAUAGGAGUUCCAGGAGGGCCUUGGAAGGCCAAGAACAGCUGCUCUAAACAGAGUCAGACUGCUUCAUCUCCAAGAGCUGGAAAGAGGGACCAGAGGAAACUGUAGCCCGGAGAAGGGGCCCCAAGUGUGUCUUGCCUGAAACCACACAGCUGGGUGCUGGCAGCUUCUAGGCUAGAUGCCAGGAUUCCUUGCAAUCUAGACCAGGGAUCUCUCCAGUAACGACCCCAGCCUUGAAUCCUCUACUGACUGGCUUUGAGGAUGGGGGAUUUGCAUCCUGCUGCCAGCUCUGAGACUCACUCCCAGUCUUGGGUCAGUGUCCAGGUUUGCAGACACCAAUGCAAUGGAGGACUGGCGUGCGCGGCUUAUAGGAAUUCAGGAGCCACCUGUUAGCGGGCACCUCUGUCGUGCCAGGCACCAUACUAGGCUUCUGGGCAUCUGGCACAGCACACAUGAUUUUAUUUGUUCUUCACCCAUAUACUACAAUGAGAAUCUUCCUGUUUCCACGGUCAUGAGAAGGAGCUCAGCAACACAUUCAGCAUCAGUCAGCGGAAAAGUGUUGGAGCUGGGUUUAAAAUUAGCUGAUUCUCUUCGGUUACCUUGCAUAUGAGAAUCUUAAAAGAGAAACCGAGUCCCGACACCUCUCCGAGGUUUAGGAAAAGCUGUUAGGGACGAGGCUGGACUGGGACAUCUGUCCACUUGGGAGAAACAGGGCUGCCCUGUGGGGAACCCUAUGUCCCGUGGCUGCUCUGCCCUAGGGUUAGGGUGUUGUGUUGUGGGAGGGUACUAAGUGGCCCUGGCUCCAGGGCUAAGAGGGCCUCUCCUUCUCUUGGUUCCGGGAGCCGUGACUUCACUGUGUGCUACCAGCUGUGGUGAGCAGUAGGGAGAGUCCAGUCCAGUCCUGAGUGCAACCCCCAGAUGGUUGAUCCCGGAGGCCAGGUGCACGAUGGAUGUCUGCAGUUACCAGAGCCUGGCAUUUGGGGGCUCUUGAAUGCAACUCACUAAGGUGAUACUGGAAAGUCUCUCAAGUGCCUUGAGGUUGGUUGUUGGGCAUCUGAGGAGGAGCGCUCAGCCUUAGGAGCAGACAGCCUGGCCUCUGCAGACAUCCUCUGUUCUCCCAGGAAGGGGCUGGGCCACCGCACCGCAUCCUUCUGCCUGGCCGUCCCCUCCGCCCCUCCUCCACCUUAUAUAAUGGCACAUUAUACAACAUUGCAAAGCAGGUGGUAUUUUUAAAGACAGCAAGUGAGCAUUUUUUUGGCCUAAAUUUGGGAAUGAAACAGAUGGAUUUUUAAGACUCUGAGCUUUUCCUAUGAAUAGUAACCCUUGUUCUCCUCUGCUUUUAAACACCAGUUUCAAGACCACCUCUAGCAACCAAUCAGCACUCUAUUUAAUUAUAACAAAAUUCUUAGCUCUGUCUGCUGCUGCUCGGACAAGUGGGGGGCACUGGAUCAAUUUCUGGAGCCAGGCAGACUUGCCAACAACAAUUUUCUUUUUCCCAGAGGGCCUCGGAGGCCGGCAGCAGGUUCCAAGCCCUUCCUCUCCUGCCCGCUCGGCGUGGGCUCCCUGACAGCGAGUUUGAAAAGGGUUACAGAGAGGCAGAUAAAUGCCCGGCUUGUUGCAGCCUUCCUGACAGCGCCGACCCCCGCGCCAGUGAGCUCAUGCCCGCCUCAUUACGCGUGGUGCCAGAUUUUUUCCAUUAACAGGUAAUUGAGUAGAAACUAAAAUAAGCGAAGUUUGUUCAUCCCUUGGAUUUUCUUGCCGGGGUUUGAAAGAAAAACACUUUAGCUUCGUUAGUGGAGGAGUGUCCUUGAAAACGUAUUUAUGUUUUCCAAGUGAUUUGUCGCUUGGUAGGUGUAAUGAGCCCGUUCCCCUGGCCUCUCCCUUCUUGUUUUUCUUCUUUAAGGGCCAUGAUGUUCAGAGAAUAGGAGCUAGUUUCCUAGGCCCGUGGCUGUCUGGCACCCUGUUUUAAGAGUGGAUGGUGAAGUAUGCUCUGUUCAUGGUAGAGGGCUUAUUUUUCUCUCUUCUCUCUCCCUAUUGUACUCGCAUGGUGUGCGUGCACACACACCCUGGAAAAUCACCCAUAGAAGCCUGUUGAUGGAUCACACAGUCUUAGCCUGCAACCUACAGGGCCCAGCUGUCAGGUGCCCCCAGGACGACUGGCCCCGCCCCCAGGGGCCCGAGGCUGGCCCCGCCCCCGUCUCCGUGCCCUGCGCCUGCGCGCAGGUGCUCCAGGUGGAUGGCCUGCCCCUCUGAGGGGCAUUCAGAAGCAAAGCGAGGAACAGAUGUUGUGUGAGCCCUGAGGUCUCCAGUCUUCCUGUUUCCCAUCUUGCUGGGCUCCUAUCUCAGCUGGUCUGUUUUCAGCUUCACAAAGAAGAUUCCUCAUCACUGCCCAGCCCCAAGUUCUCUAUUAGAGUUGGAGCUUCGGAUGAGAUGUGUGUGUGUGUGUUUGGUACUUGAAAUACAGAGAAAGAGAGAUUGUUCACCCCUCUACACACCUGACAUAGAGGUCUUUGUGAAGGAAAGACAGCUCCAGAAACUUGUGACUUUUGGCUUGAAAACUUAGCUCGCAAGCCUUAGUUCAUUGGGUAUUCUGCUAGUAAUAAUAAUAAUAACCACAGCUAACAUUUUUACAUCACUGCUCUGUGCUAGUGCGGGGUGUCCUUCUAACAGGGAUGGUGUUGAUUAGGUCCCUGCCCGCCUAGAGCUAACAUUCCAGGGGAGGGUGGGGAGACUGACAAUCACCGAGUAAACAAAAGGGCCCCUUGAGAUUUCAGUAAGUGCCACAGGGAAGAAACCGAUGUCAGGAUGGGCAAGAGCCCACAUGGGCAAGAGCCUCCAGGCAUCAAGGGGGCCCC